rnacentral:rRNA from 1 species
GAUGAACGCUGGCGGCGUGCCUAAUACAUGCAAGUCGAGCGAACGGACGAGAAGCUUGCUUCUCUGAUGUUAGCGGCGGACGGGAGAGUAACACGUGGAUAACCUACCUAUAAGACUGGGAUAACUUCGGGAAACCGUAGCUAAUACCGGAUAAUAUUUUGAACCGCAUGGUUCAAAAGUGAAAGACGGUCUUGCUGUCACUUAUAGAUGGAUCCGCGCUGCAUUAGCUAGUUGGUAAGGUAACGGCUUACCAAGGCAACGAUGCAUAGCCGACCUGAGAGGGUGAUCGGCCACACUGGAACUGAGACACGGUCCAGACUCCUACGUGAGGCAGCAGUAGGGAAUCUUCCGCAAAGGGCGAAAGCCUGACGGAGCAACGCCGCGUGAGUGAUGAAGGUCUUCGGAUCGUAAAACUCUGUUAUUAGGGAAGAACAUAUGUGUAAGUAACUGUGCACAUCUUGACGGUACCUAAUCAGAAAGCCACGGCUAACUACGUG